AAUAUUGGACAAUGGGCGAAAGCCUGAUCCAGCAAUGCCGCGUGUGUGAAGAAGGCCUGCGGGUUGUAAAGCACUUUCGGUGGGGAAGAAAAGCGCGGGGCUAAUACCCGCGGGCAUUGACGUUACCCCCAGUAGAAGCACCGGCUAACUCCGCUCCAUCAGCACCGGUAAUACGGAGGGUGCGAGCGUUAAUCGGAAUUACUGGGCGUAAAGCGCACGCAGGUGGAUGUGGAAGUCGGAUGUGAAAGCCCCGGGCUCAACCUGGGAAUUGCAUUCGAUACUGCAUAGCUAGAGUAUGGGAGAGGGAAGUGGAAUUCCCGGUGUAGCGGUGAAACGCGUAGAUAUCGGGAAGAACACCAGUGGCGAAGGCGGCUUUCUGGCCCAAUACUGACACUCAUGUGCGACAGCGUGGGGAGCAAACAG
rnacentral:rRNA from 1 species